rnacentral:rRNA from 1 species
UACGGGGGGGGCAAGCGUUGUUCGGAAUUACUGGUCGUAAAGGGCUCGUAGGCGGCCAACUAAGUCCGACGUGAAAUCCCCAGGCUUAACCUGGGAACUGCGUCGGAUACUGGAUGGCUUGAAUUCGGGAGAGGGAUGCAGAAUUCCAGGUGUAGCGGUGAAAUGCGUAGAUAUCUGGAGGAAUACCGGUGGCGAAGGCGGCAUCCUGGACCGACAUUGACGCUGAUGAGCGAAAGCUAGGGGAGCAAACGGG